AAGGGUGUGAUAGGCCACCUUAUUUAAGAGAGUAAAUGGAAUUUUUCUGUAAUGGUGGUAUGUGUAAAUAGGAAAAAGAACUUUAGACGUGAAGACUAUUUACUUCUAAGAUUAUAAUGUGUUGGCUAAAACACGAGAGUGUGGGGAGCAAACAGGAUUAGGUACCCUGGUAGUCCAUACUGUAAAUAAUGAAAAAGAUGUGAAGCAAUUCUAAAAGGUAAGAACUUUUCCGCUUGAGUAGUACGAUCGCAAGAUUAAAAUUCAAAAAACUUGGCUGUUCACUGUUUUGAUUAGAGGAGCGUGUCGUUUAAUUCGAUAGUCCGCGAGAGACCUUACCCAAACUUGAAUCCCUCAUUGACAGGUAUUGCAUGGCCGUCGUCAAUUUGUGUAUUAAACAUAAAACAAAUUCAACCCAGUGGUUUGUCUAUUGGAUGAAGUCAGGUCUUAUUGUCCUAAUGUUUGGGGAUUAGAUGCGCUACAUUUUUUUAUACAAUGGGAAACUUUGAAUGUGAAACCCAAAAAUAAGAGUUCGGAAGGUGCCUGGAAUAUAACGGAAAGUUGGAUUUAAUAGUAAUUGAAAAGUAGAGCGUUUCAAUGAAAUUUAUUCAGUGUUAGUACAAAUUGCCCGUCGCCUUUGCUUAGAAAGGUUGUUUGGUUGCCCCUCAAGAGGGUUCCUAAUAUCUUCGAGGUAGAGUAAGUCGUAA
rnacentral:rRNA from 1 species